UUUUCAGGAGGGCCCUACCGAAGAGAGCUGAGUGUCCGCCAGCCUCUGCCUCCAGAGCUACCUUCUGCUGGGGGAGGGCCAGGCAGCAAGCAAGUGCUGUGAAUAAUGAGUCAGUUGAAGUUGUGAUAAGUGUUGUGGAGGAAAUAAAACCGGGCAAUGGGACAGAGAGGAAGGCAGGGACAAAGUCACUCCAGAUAAGAGUCCGGGCCUUCCCUUCCCUGGCAGUGGGGAAGCCCAGGGAUAAGCAACUGAACCAGCUCAUAGUGAGUCAUGGGGAGAUACAAGGCGGAUACUCAUUUGGGGACGUGAAUCAUGGUGGUUGUGAACCUAUGCUCUGAGUUCAUAAAGAACACUAGGUUCAGAAACCAAGGCUACCAAUUAGCUCUGUGACCUGUGGCACAUUUAACCUCUCCAAGCUUCUGUCCCCUUAUCAAG
rnacentral:lncRNA from 12 species